rnacentral:lncRNA from 1 species
CAAAGGCCUGUGGGAUGAGUUGGGCACAAUGUGCACAAAUCAUGGGCAGAGAUGUGUGUGUGCUGCUAAAAAUGGAAUAAUUCAGGAAGAUGAUGAAAAAAAGGUAUUCCAAUUUCUUAUGGGGCUAAAUGAAGCAUACAUAGGGGUUAGGAGUAACUUGUUGAUGAUGCAGUCAUUUCCUUCCCUUGACAAUGUUUACAAUAUAGUGCUUAAUGAUGAGAAACAGAGACAAGUUCAAUCUAUUUCUCAAAUCAGUCCAGACUCUAUGUCUUUUAAUGCUAAUACGGCAGAGAUGUGUGUGUGCUGCUAAAAAUGGAAUAAUUGAGGAAGAUGAUGAAAACAAGGUAUUCCAGUUUCUUAUAGGGUUAAAUGAAGCAUACAUGGGGGUUAGGAGUAAUCCGUUGAUGAUGCAGUCAUUUCCUUCCCUUGACAAUGUUUACAAUAUAGUGCUUAAUGAUGAGAAACAGAGACAAGUUCAAUCUAUUUCCCAAAUCAUUCCAGACUAUAUGUCUUUUAAUGCUAAUUCAAAUAAGCACUCAGUUGGGUUUAAUCAGGCCAUAGUGCCUAGUCCCCCUGUUUUCAGACCCAGAGUUAAUUUCGAGCAAAGAAGAGGGCCCUUAUUUUGCAGAUACUGCAAGAAAUCUGGGCACUUAAUUGAUAAGUGCUCUAAGAUUCAUGUGUUUCCUCAAAAUAUCAAAUNNNNNNNNNNNNNUUGUAGAUACUGCAAGAAAUCUGGGCACUUAAUUGAUAAGUGCUAUAAGAUUCAUGGGUUUCCUCAAAAUAUCAAAUACAACAAGGGAAGGAAAUCUGUUGCUGCUCAUGUCUCCACUGGUGAGGAAAGUGUGUCUAUUAAUCAUGGGAAUCUUAAUAUGUCUGUUCCUCUUGGGGAUCCUCCUGCCAGCCAUCACCAUAUUACAAAAAUAGAUGGCCAAAGUUCUAUGAUACCAGGGUUGAUCAGACAACAAUAUGAUCAAUUGAUGAGCUUGUUGCAACAGACCCGUUAGGGGAUUCCAGUGCUCAGGAUCCUCCUCCCAUGUAUGCUGCUAAUUUUGCUGGUACUAUGUUGACUGAGAGUCUUGUUUCUG